CCAUGCAGUCGAACGAUGAACCACUUCGGUGGGGAUUAGUGGCGAAGGGGUGAGUAACACGUGGGCAAUCUGCCCUUCACUCUGGGACAAGCCCUGGAAACGGGGUCUAAUACCGGAUAACACUCCCUCUCUCAUGGGUGGGGGUUAAAAGCUCCGGCGGUGAAGGAUGAGCCCGCGGCCUAUCAGCUUGUUGGUGAGGUAAUGGCUCACCAAGGCGACGACCGGUAGCCGGCCUGAGAGGGCGACCGGCCACACUGGGACUGAGACACGGCCCAGACUCCUACGGGAGGCAGCAGUGGGGAAUAUUGCACAAUGGGCGAAAGCCUGAUGCAGCGACGCCUCGUGAGGGAUGACGGCCUUCGGGUUGUAAACCUCUUUCAUCAGGGAAGAAGCGAAAGUGACGGUACCUGCAGAAGAAGCGCCGGCUAACUACGUGCCAGCAGCCGCGGUAAUACGUAGGGCGCAAGCGUUGUCCGGAAUUAUUGGGCGUAAAGAGCUCGUAGGCGGCUUGUCACGUCGGGUGUGAAAGCCCGGGGCUUAACCCCGGGUCUGCAUUCGAUACGGGCUAGCUAGAGUGUGGUAGGGGAGAUCGGAAUUCCUGGUGUAGCGGUGAAAUGCGCAGAU
rnacentral:rRNA from 1 species